CAGUCAGAGUCACAGUGAUUUGUGCUAGAAACACUGAAUAAGUUCAUUCGCAAAUAUGAGGGCUGCAGCAGAUGAGAAGAUUUGAAGUCAAUAACAUCAUUUUAGAGCUUCAGACGACUGAGAAUAUCGAGCACAGAUACCCUGAAGACAUCAAACAAGUGAUCAACAGAAUUUGGAUUCAUCAGAUUGUUGAGAAGAUAUAGUUUUAUAAGUGUAUUGAGCCAUGGCUAAAUGAACUAUCUUCUAAACGCUUUGACUAAUUAAAAUCCUUUUGAUAA